CUUAAGCCGAAUCACGCACAGGGAGCUGACGUUAGCGCGGUCGGUGUGAAACAACAAUUGACACUUGCGUUUUGUUGUUGUUAGCGUCGCACACACUGACGUCACCGACGCGUCAUGCGCGACACAGAGCGAAGCGCCAAAGACGAGAGUCUUUGAAUGUGGAGUUCUUUGCGAUGCCAAACAAACUCAAACGGACCAAGACCUGUAAAGACGUGUUGCCCCCGCGCGCCUCCGAGGUGGCGACGUUCAGAGGGGACUCGGCCUCGCUGGCAGCGAAAGACGCGCGUGCGGGCGCUGCCGCUGCGUGCGCCGCCUCAGACAGAAAAGUCGCACCACCCCAAGAGCGGAGAGAGACUUUCUGCGGAAAACACGCACACAUCGCGCCAAUCUUCUUGCGGAAAACACAGCACAGCGAAAGCAAAUGGAGCGGCGACGGGAAGCCGGGUCGGCCGGUGGAGAAGCUUUGGGAACCGGGGCUCCCUCCCCAGGCGGAAGACGUGCAGCGGGUGAAAGGUCAGCGGUGUUUAUCAACAGUCUCCCGGGGAGGCCGGCUGUCGACCUCGGCUCUGGGCAGCUGUCUGGAAGACAUCCAGACGUCCAACCCAGCGUUUCCAGUCAGGACAGUGUUCAGCACUCUGCGGGAGAGAGCGCGAGGAAAGCCGCAGGAUGUUGGACCCACAGCAAUAAAUAUAAGCUCCCCACAGAACCCCUUACAAGAGAAGAGGAAACGAGGGAACGAAAGCUCUGAGAGGGGCCCCAAACGUCUCAGGUCAAGUCUCGUUGUGGAGGAAGCCUUCAGCGUGGGUCCCUGUCUGGUGUCAGCUGUCCAGGAGGAUCCCGUCCUGACGGUCAAGAAGCAGCACUCAAGGAGCAACAAGCUGAGUCGCAGACUGAGGGAGCAAAGUGGGAGCCCAGUAGACCCGGAGCCGCCCAAAACCUCCGGCAUCCCCCAAAGAGGUGAACUUGUGAUGUCUCGAUUGCUCGUUGACAUGUUUGAUGCACUUUUGGAGAGCAGGAAAUGA
rnacentral:lncRNA from 1 species